rfam:Rattus norvegicus chromosome 3, whole genome shotgun sequence.
GGGGAUCUAGCUCAGUGGUAGAGCGCUUGCCUAGCAAGCGCAAGGCCCUGGGUUCGGUCCCCA